rnacentral:rRNA from 1 species
GAUGAACGCUGGCGGCGUGCCUAAUACAUGCAAGUCGAGCGAACAGACGAGGAUCUUGCUCCUCUGACGUUAUCGGCGGACGGGUGAGUAACACGUGGAUAACCUACCUAUAAGACUGGGAUAACUUCGGGAAACCUGAGCUAAUACCGGAUAAUAUAUUUAACCGCAUGGUUCAAUAGUUAAAUACGGUUUUGCUGUCACUUAUAGAUGGAUCCACGCCGCAUUAGCUAGUUGGUAAGGUAACGGCUUACCAAGGCAACGAUGCGUAGCCGAACUGAGAGGGUGAUCGGCCACACUGGAACUGAGAAACGGUCCAGACUCCUACGGGAGGCAGCAGUAGGGAAUCUUCCGCAAUGGGCGAAAGCCUGACGGAGCAACGCCGCGUGAGUGAUGAAGGUCUUCGGAUCGUAAAACUCUGUUAUUAGGGAAGAACAAAUGUGUAAGUAACUAUGCACGUCUUGACGGUACCUAAUCAGAAAGCCACGGCUAACUACGUG